CUCUUUGUAUAAAUUUCCUAAUCUAUUUGUGACUUGUUGCUUUUGGAAAUUUUUUAAGAAAAUCCCCCCGCUGGCGGCGAGAAAUUUGAUGUUCCCGCAAAAAGUUUGUUUAUUUUAUCUAGCCAAUGGGAUCUUUAGGAUCUGUGACGUCAGGCAGGUUUUGUGCAUCCCAACAGCUGAUCGCCAUUUCAAGCCCGAAACCGUUUAUAUUUCCUCAAAGUUCUCGUGUUUGCAAUUGUUUUAAAGCGAAAAAAAUACUUGUCAAAUGCUUUAAAGAAAUCAAUGUUUAUUUAGAGUUAGUUUUUUUUCUAAGUUUUUGUGUUUAAGUUGGAGUAUUUUCAUGUGUAAGUUUGUG